rnacentral:rRNA from 1 species
UACGUAGGGGGCGAGCGUUGUCCGGAUUUAUUGGGCGUAAAGAGUGUGUAGGCGGCCAGGCAGGUCUGCUGUGAAAACUCGAGGCUCAACCUCGAGAUGGCGGCGGAAACUGUCUGGCUAGAGUCCGGAAGAGGAGAGUGGAAUUCCUGGUGUAGCGGUGAAAUGCGCAGAUAUCAGGAAGAACACCUAUGGCGAAGGCAGCUCUCUGGGACGGUACUGACGCUGAGACGCGAAAGCGUGGGGAGCGAACAGG